AGAGUUUGAUCCUGGCUCAGAUUGAACGCUGGCGGCAUGCCUUACACAUGCAAGUCGAACGGCGGCGCGGGGCAACCUGGCGGCGAGUGGCGAACGGGUGAGUAAUAUAUCGGAACGUACCCUGGAGUGGGGGAUAACGUAGCGAAAGUUACGCUAAUACCGCAUACGAUCUAAGGAUGAAAGUGGGGGAUCGCAAGACCUCAUGCUCCUGGAGCGGCCGAUAUCUGAUUAGCUAGUUGGCGGGGUAAAAGCCCACCAAGGCAACGAUCAGUAGCUGGUCUGAGAGGACGACCAGCCACACUGGAACUGAGACACGGUCCAGACUCCUACGGGAGGCAGCAGUGGGAAAUUUUGGACAAUGGGCGCAAGCCUGAUCCAGCAAUGCCGCGUGAGUGAAGAAGGCCUUCGGG
rnacentral:rRNA from 1 species